ensembl:lncRNA
AACGGCUCGGCGGGAGGGCCCCCGUCUCCCGGGGCCCUCGGGGGCCAACUCGGAGAGCAGAGUCCCUCUUUCCAUCCAGCGGAGAGCAGAGAACCCAGCCCUCCCACUGCACCAGUCAUUCCAUCGCCUUGGAAACCAACCACUUACCCCACCCAAAAGAGCCAUAUAAGGACAUCGCUUCCCACCGAGGCCACGCCCCAGCUCUCUGUUACCACGGCUACACCGACAACAACAGGUCUACCCCUUCAAGUGUCCACGGGAGACCCUGUAGAGUGCGCUAAGCCCGUUGUUACGGAUCAAGUUCACGCUCCAAUCAGCCCAGUACCCCCAGCUGCUGAGAGACUGAGACCCUAUGCUGUGGUGGACCCCCCCAGCCAGGUUCUGUCUCCCCCGGUCCAGGAGGUGGUCCUCAACGCCAGCCAGAGCCGAGGGGACGCCCUGCUCAGGUGUGGGUGGGAGCAGACCAGUGGACCCUCUGUGGACAUGGGGCGGUCAGCCGACACCUGGACUCUUCACCUGGCCCACCUGGAGCCCGGGAAC